rnacentral:rRNA from 1 species
CAGCCGCCGCGGGAAUACGAAGGGGGCUAGCGUUGCUCGGAAUGACUGGGCGUAAAGCGUGCGUAGGCGGUUUGUUAAGUCUGUUGUGAAAUCCCCGGGCUCAACCUGGGAAUGGCAAUGGAUACUGGCAAGCUAGAGUGUGUCAGAGGAUGGUGGAAUUCCCGGUGUAGCGGUGAAAUGCGUAGAGAUCGGGAGGAACAUCAGUGGCGAAGGCGGCCAUCUGGGACAACACUGACGCUGAGGCACGAAAGCGUGGGGAGCAAACAGGAUUAGAUACCCGAGUAGUCCCUGUCUCUUAUAC